rnacentral:hammerhead_ribozyme from 1 species
AUACUGUGACGAGUCCCAAACAGGACGAAACGCGCGUCCUGGAU